GUAUGUCUACAAACAGUCGAAGCGCGUAUAAUUGCAGCGCGACGGCGUGCCUAUUGAAGAAUGAACCGGCGAGUUACUGUUACUAGCGAGGUUAAGUGGAAAACAUGGAGCCGAAGCGAAAGCGAGUCUGAAUAGGGCGAAUAGUUAGUGAUAGUAGACCCGAAACCGUAGUGAUCUAUCCAUGGCCAGGUUGAAGCACAGGUAAAAUUGUGUGGAGGACCGAACUCGUGAGCGUUGAAAAGCUUUGGGAUGAGCUGUGGAUAGGGGUGAAAUGCCAAUCGAACACGGAGAUAGCUGGUUCUCCCCGAAAUAGCUUUAGGGCUAGCCUCAUGGAGAGAGUAUAGGCGGUAGAGCACUGAUCGGGCUAGGGCUCAUACCGGGUACCGAACCUAGUCAAACUACGAAUGGCUAUACUUAUACAUGGGAGUCAGACUAUGAGUGAUAAGGCCCAUAGUCAAGAGGGAAACAGCCCAGACCACCAACUAAGGUCCCUAAUGCUGUACUAAGUGGCGAAGGAUGUGGAAUUUCUAAAACAACCAGGAUGUUGGCUUAGAAGCAGCCACCAUUUAAAGAGUGCGUAAUAGCUCACUGGUCGAGAGACUCUGCGCCGAAAAUGUCCGGGGCUAAAGUACAGAACCGAAGUUGUGGCAAAUGCUUAAUGCAUUUGGGUAGGGGAGCGUUCUUAUUGGAUUGAAGCAGUACCGGAAGGAGCUGUGGACUGGUAAGAAGUGAGAAUGCCGGUAUGAGUAGCGAAAAGAAAGGUGAGAAUCCUUUCCACCGAAAGCCUAAGGGUUCCUGAGCAACGAUCGUCGACUCAGGGUAAGUCGGGACCUAAGCCGAGGCGGAAAAGCGUAGGCGAUGGACAACAGGUUGAAAUUCCUGUACUAGUAUGAAUUGUUUGAUCGAUGGAGUGACGCAGUAAGAUAGGUCAGCACGAGGAUGGAAAUUCGUGUUUAAGCGUGUAGGUGAAGUGGCAGGCAAAUCCACCACUUCAAAAGCUGAGGCGUGAUGAGGAGUUACUGGCGAUAGUGACGAACUGAUUGAUUCUACACUGCCGAGAAAAGCUUCUAGGUAGAGACAUACUACCCGUACCGAAACCGACACAGGUGGGCGGGGAGAGAAUCCUAAGGUGCGCGGGAAAACCCUCGUUAAGGAACUCGGCAAAAUGCCUCCGUAACUUCGGGAAAAGGAGGACUCAUGUAGUGUGAAGAGCAGUAACGCUUGGAGCAUGAAUGAGUGGCACAAGAGAGGCGCAAGCGACUGUUUACCACAAACACAGGUGCCUGCUAAAGCGAAAGCUGAUGUAUAGGUGCUGACACCUGCCCGGUGCUGGAAGGUUAAGAGGAGGGGUUAGGAGUAAUCCGAAGCUCUGAAUUGAAGCCCCAGUAAACGGCGGCCGUAACUAUAACGGUCCUAAGGUAGCGAAAUUCCUUGUCGGGUAAGUUCCGACCCGCACGAAAGGUGUAACGACUUGCGCACUGUCUCAACGAGGGACCCGGUGAAAUUGAAGUACCUGUGAAGAUGCAGGUUACCCGCGACUGGACAGAAAGACCCCAUGGAGCUUUACUGCAACCUAAGAUUGAAUUUAGUUAUUGAAUGUACAGGAUAGGUGGGAGACUUAGAAACUAGGGCGCCAGUCUUAGUGGAGUCAUUGUUGGGAUACCACCCUUUCCAUAAUUGAAUUCUAACGGGAAGACUAACACCCUUCCGGACAGUCUUAGGCGGGCAGUUUGACUGGGGCGGUCGCCUCCGAAAAUGUAACGGAGGCGCCCAAAGGUUCCCUCAGAGCGGACGGAAAUCGCUCGAAGAGUGUAAAGGCAGAAGGGAGCUUGACUGC
rnacentral:rRNA from 1 species